AGAAACUUAGGUUAAAUAUAAACCAAGGGCCUUCAAAGCCCUAAAUAAGAGAGAAAACUCCUAGUUUCUG
rnacentral:tRNA from 1 species